rnacentral:rRNA from 1 species
AUACGGAGGAUCCGAGCGUUAUCCGGAUUUAUUGGGUUUAAAGGGUGCGCAGGCGGCCACUUAAGUCAGCGGUUAAAUCGUGGGGCUCAACCCCAUUCUGCCGUUGAUACUGGGUGGCUUGAUUGCGGUCGAGGUUGGCGGAAUUCGUUGUGUAGCGGUGAAAUGCAUAGAUAUGACGAAGAACACCGAUUGCGUAGGCAGCUGACCAGACCGCAAAUGACGCUCAUGCACGAAAGUGCGGGGAUCGAACAGGAUUAGAUACCCUGGUAGUCCGCACAGUAAACGAUGAAUACUUGUUUUCGGCGAUAUAAUGUCGGAGGCAAAGCGAAAGCGAUAAGUAUUCCACCUGGGGAGUACGCCGGCAACGGUGAAACUCAAAUGAAUUGACGGGG